CAGCAUGGCGGUCAGGCCCCGCCCCCCUAGUCUGAGUUUUUUAGAGCAAUAUGUAGGGUCUGCACCCAAUGAAGGUGCAAUCCACAAGCUCCCCCAGAAGGGGAUUCUUGGCCUUUAAGAGAGAUCUCUGAUCUCCGCAUUGACCCAUGAAGGGAUAGUGCACAUACUUUAAGACAACGCUUUGGUAACGUCAGUCCUAGAUGGACCGGUCAAGGAGAUCCUUUGAGCUCCUCCAUUGGCCUCAGCCCAGGCUAUAGAGAUCCACUGGGCAUUUUUUUUUACCUGAUUGCCAGUCCAGAUCUGCUGUGUACGCUAAAACAGACAAAUGCUUUAAAGAAAAGAAACAAGAUGGGACAUAUCAAUAAAAUAUAUAUCACUCCUGGACUGCUGAAACCAUGGCGCAGACCACCAUAUCAGGAAGACAUCGUGAUCCUGCAGGGUAACGGCUG